rnacentral:rRNA from 1 species
GCGUUAUCCGGAUUCACUGGGUUUAAAGGGUGCGUAGGCGGGCAGGUAAGUCAGUGGUGAAAUCCUGGAGCUCAACUCCAGAACUGCCAUUGAUACUAUCUGUCUUGAAUAUUGUGGAGGUAAGCGGAAUAUGUCAUGUAGCGGUGAAAUGCUUAGAUAUGACAUAGAACACCCAUUGCGAAGGCAGCUUACUACGCAUAUAUUGACGCUGAGGCACGAAAGCGUG